CGUAGGGUGCGAGCGUUAUCCGGAAUUAUUGGGCGUAAAGAGCUCGUAGGCGGUUUGUCGCGUCUGUCGUGAAAGUCCGGGGCUUAACCCCGGAUCUGCGGUGGGUACGGGCAGACUAGAGUGCAGUAGGGGAGACUGGAAUUCCUGGUGUAGCGGUGGAAUGCGCAGAUAUCAGGAGGAACACCGAUGGCGAAGGCAGGUCUCUGGGCUGUAACUGACGCU
rnacentral:rRNA from 1 species